UCUCUUCCAUUCAGCUUACACUCUUGUACCAGCAUGCUAUGGUCCGAGACAACGUCAACCAUUUCAUCCUCAUCUAUCCACAUACGGGCCACAAUCUCAUGCAUUCUGCCAUUCACUAGCAUUUAGUCAAUCGCAGACUCCUAGCACACCAAGUCACUCGUCCUUCUGCCAGGGUCUCAUUCAGGUUUUCAAGAUCCAUCUCAUUCACAUACUUAUCAAGCAUCAGAGAUAGAAAGAUGAUGAUGUAGUGGAAACCAACAGAACAGCAUGGAAGAUGGGGGCAUAAACGAUGAUGUUGAAUACAGUAGAGCUGAAAUAUCUGUUGGUGAGACGGUGGAGCAUGUGGUGCUGGAGUGUGUGAAGUAUACUAGAGACAUAUAAGAUGAUGCAAGUGGUGCUAAAGGAAUCGGGGAACGUCAGCGUGGAGAGACAAAAAGGGAAUGGAUGGUGCUGUUGCUGGGACUGUGUGGAGAGAUGAAUGAAAGGAUGAUUGAGGCUGUGAAAGACUUCCUGGAGAAAAUGUGGCGUGCUAGAUGUAGGAACCAGCGGUGUGAUAGAUGCUGUAUGACUGUAUGCCUUUUUCUGUUGUCGUUCUUUUUUUUUUCCCCCUACAAGAGUGCCGAUGCAAAGGCACCAUCCUUCUUUUUCUUCUCAAUCAUUUCAUUCACCACAAACAUAUUGUCCUCAGCUCUCCUAUCCCCACGAAAACAAGAACUUCUUGGAAGGAGUCCUAAGCCACUUUUAAGAUCAAGAUCAAGCCACCUGUCUGUCUCUUUUUUUUUCCCCUUUCUACAGGAGUUGCCGAUCCAAAGGCCUGGCUCAGGAGUGAUCCUGUGCCACCUGUACCAUCAAGAUCAAGAAGAUCUUGAGUAUCAGAAUGCAUGGGCAGCGUAUGUGAAGCAGCAGCGGUUGACAAGACGAAUGAUAAUGAAUGCUAAAAUGAAGAGUGAAAGGAGUGUGAUUCAAUCUUUAAGGGAGAAAGGUAUAGAAGGUGGCUGUGAAUGGUACAAGUUCAUGAGAGGUAAGAAUAUUAAAAUUAAAAUAAAAUUCAAUAAAUAUAUGCAGUAAAAUAAAACUGAGCAAAAUAAAAAAAAAAGAAAAAGGUAUAGAAAAUUCAUAAAUAAGGCAAAAAAAAAAAAAAUGGAAUACUUAGUGGACUUCAAUAAAUAAAAUAGAAUGAAAAAGCAAUAAAAUCAAAUAAAAAAAAGCAAGACAAAAAAAAUAAAUAAAUAAAUAAAUAGUAUAAAAAAAAACAUCAGCGUGUACUUACCUGGAGACAUAACAAGGUCCUGGAGCUGUCCUACAAGCGCUCCAACACCUUUGUCCACUAGAUUCCCAACACAAAAACACCCCCAAACCCGACUCCAAACAUCCUAAAACACAUGCAAACACACACAAAACACCCCAAUACACACAUAAAAAAUCCCUAUCUUUGGGUAAGACUGACAACACUGACACACCACACACUGAGACAGCGAGAUCACAACCCCUCAGGUACCUCCUUGCUGCUAGGUGAACAGGGACUACACAUUUGCCUCGCUGCGCCCAGGAUUUGAACCCGGGCCUUCUUGCUUUCCAGCCAAACGUGCUAACCACUACAGAGUUGCCGAUCCAAAGGCCUGGCUCAAGAGUUAUCCUGUGCCACAUGUACCAUCAAGAUCAAGAUCAAGAUAUGUACUCUGAAGAUCAAGAUCAACUGACAAGCUCGACACGCAAGAAUCGCGAGAUCUACCAAAAAUAAAAAAUAAAUUAAAUUAAAUUAAAGGACAUCAGGAACAGCGAUACCAA